rnacentral:rRNA from 1 species
AGAGACAGCAGCAGCCACGGGAAUACGAAGGGUGCAAGCGUUAAUCGGAAUUACUGGGCGUAAAGCGUGCGUAGGCGGCUUUUUAAGUCGGAUGUGAAAUCCCUGAGCUUAACUUAGGAAUUGCAUUCGAUACUGGGAAGCUAGAGUAUGGGAGAGGAUGGUAGAAUUCCAGGUGUAGCGGUGAAAUGCGUAGAGAUCUGGAGGAAUACCGAUGGCGAAGGCAGCCAUCUGGCCUAAUACUGACGCUGAGGUACGAAAGCAUGGGGAGCAAACAGGAUUAGAUACCCGCGUAGUCCCUGUCUCUUAUAA